CUUUCUAAACUGUCAACUGUUCAGAAUAUUUCGUUCUGCAUUUUAUUGGCUGUUUUUACCAUUUUAUGUUAGACUUUCAAAAAGUGUCGAGUAAAUUUUCUCAAAUUGACUGUGAUUUUUGGCAUUAUAUGUAACAUUGGAAACUGAUACAAACUGUUGAAGUUGAGAACGCUCGUUCGCAAUGGCAAAGCAAACUACCAUCUACAAAAAUUUCGACGACCCGCUUCCUAGUAGAGCAGGAUCAGCAGCUAACGGGCAACAUCCUGGAUCCCGGCGCUAAGCCACAAGCAAGUGCACUUCAGCUUCCGGAACCCAUUUCAAAAUAGAAUGCCACAGACUGAUUCAUCGUGAUGUUUUGACACCCGCACCGACAACGACGACGCGACGUAUAGCCCAAGAGAGACAACCACUGACUGCACUGACUGGAAACCUUGAAUUGACGAAGCCGGCCUGUGGUGGUGGCAUUGAAAAUAUUAAAUUUGAAUCACUUUUUUUUGCGUAAUUUGCUGUAAGCGAUCGGAUGUACUGAGAGCACUUGCUGUUGUAAUUGAAAGUGUGUUAAAAUAUGAUUUUAGGGUUUUUUUUAAAUUUCAAGUUGAUUAAGGCCACGCUAAACAGAAUGCUUUUUAAGCAAAUUUUUCAGUUUUGCAUUCAGACUUAUAUUGUUUUUGCUUUUUAUUAUUUUUAUUCUUGUUGUCUGUUAUGAUUCUUAGUUCUGUUCUAGUAUUAAAAAAAAUCAUUAUUAAAUUGUAAGCCAAAACA